UCAGCUUCCCACAGAUGCUUCAUGAGACUUUCAGUGUCUUUCAAAUCUUGUUUAAAAUGAUGAGUCAUUAAGGCAGUGUAUAGAGGAGUAUCAUUCUUUACUCCAGCCUAGCCCAAAAAGCAUUCAAAACAGGGCCUACACAGCUCCAAGCUCUCUUCCAUCAGAUAGCAACUAAAUUGCUCAUGCCAUAUCUCUGUCAAACAAAGUCACCUGAAGCAUAAUGCUAUGUCAAGUAGAAAACUGAUCCAGCCCCAGAACAAGAAAAGAAGCCAAAACAGUGCUGGCUUUCUAAGUACUAGCUGUGCAAAAUAUGACUCAUGUAGUGAAUGCUUUUGCCGUCAGUUUACAUAGCACAAUUUUUACAACUUUUGUAUGGCUCAGGAAACCUCUCAUCCUACCUUAAGCACACACACUUACAUAUACACAUGUAUGCAUAUGCACAUUUAUACAUACAUAUAUGUGUAUACAUAUACAUACAUACAUAUAUCUGUUCACACAUGAAAUACAGACAUAAAGAGAUAGCGCACGAGAGUAGAUUGCUGUGGUGGUGAGCUUUGCAGAAUGUCUGGAAAUGGCAAGCUGAAUUCUGUCUUCUUUUACAGCAAUAUCAUUCCCUUUAUCCACAAUGCUGGAAAAUCACCCUUUCUGAAAUUCUGUAGUCUGAUGAGUACAGGUCAUAGACUUCUGGCAGUAAAAAUGAACCUUAGCAGGAAUUGUCUAAUCUGUUCUCAUAACACAAGUCAAAUGUGGGCAUCGGUCUUGCAUAUCAUAAUUUCUAUUGGUGGUAGAAUACAUAGACCUCUAGCCUGAGUGUAAAUAUUGCAUAUGAAUAAGGUCCUGCAUGUGAGUGAGUUUAAUUACAUUACUCUCCCUAUGAAAAAGUGUGCAAUUUGGCCCUAUGGUGAAUUUGUUUCAGCUUCCCAUCACUGGCUAUACUUCAGGCAUUUUUGCAUCGUGAACAGUAUGAGUCCUAAGGCUCAUUAGUUUCAUUAUUAGCCCUGCUGGUUUUAUGCACUUAAAACCCCUGGGUGCCAAAAGACAGUUUUCGAGGAGUCUGUGCAACUUUCCCCCAUUGUAUAGCUAGAAGACUGUCUGAUCCCCCAAGGAAGCCUGAUGUCUUUCUUUUGUGAUCUGUGUACCAUGGUAGCCAUUCAAGACUACUACAAAUGAAAAUUCUCUUUUUAGAAAUCCAUUGGUCUCUUCUUAGUUAACUGGCUAUAUGUUUUCGUUUUUUCUUUUUCAUGGGGGAAAUCCUGGUAUCUUUCCCUUUUCCUGGGAAUAGAGAAUGGGAUCUGCAGGAAGAACAUUCCUACCAAGGUUUCCCAGUGCUGCAAGUAUCCCAUGACAAUGUGGAUCAGUAAAGACACUUACAGAUGUCCAAGACAUACUCACCUGCUGCCUUUGCUUCCUGAAUGAAAUCUUUACUCCUCUGUCACCAGCUAUUUCUGCGCUCUACAGGCUCCACUUUAAAGUACAGAAGGUUUUCCAAGAGGUGUUGUACCUUCACCAACAUCCAGCUCUCCAGCUGAGACCAUCUGAAUGUGUUUGGGGGUUUUUUUUACCAAAAUCUGAGUGUAGACUCACUAUUGCCUGCUUUGUAUUUUCAUCAAUUCUUGCACAUUUUUGAGCAGCUUUUCUGAAAGCUGCAUUUCUGAAUGCUUGCUUUGCUUGCUAUAUGGUAUGCUAGGCCUUGUGCUCAAGCUAGGCUAAGCUGAUUUUUUUCUUUGAUCAAGCACCUGAUAAUGUCCAGUCAGUGAAGAGACAGCAGCUUUGCAGUGAGCAUGCCUUAGCCCUCAAACCAAGAGAAAGUGACAAUUUAAUUUCAUUUCUAAACACAGAACAAGGCAAAGUGACUUACACAGGAACUGAGAUGUUUUUAUGCUAAAUUUGAUGUUUCCAUUGGAAAAAUGAACAAGUAAGGCUUUGAAUAAAGGCUAGACCGUUGUAUGAUAAUAUACCUAGAAAGUUUGUCAGGCAAUAGCUGCAUAAUGCUAUGCUUCAGAAAAUCAAUACCUAUACUUUAUACAGUUCUAGAAGUAUCCUCUUUACUUCUACAGUGAUAACAUAAUUUUGUCUGGAAAAUAAACCUGAUACCUAGCAUUAAACUUUAAUGGACAAGCAAAUCCAGAUUUUCCCCCUGCUUUGUCCUUUGUUGUUUUUCAAGUAGUUAAAAGGCAUCAUAGCUUAAAAACCAUCCAUUUAUUUUUAUCUGACAGAGAAGGUAAAUUAUUUCAUCUGAGAGUUAAUCUGAAAACUGAAAACUGUAGAGAGUUUAUUUAGGAUAGAACAAAACAGAAGGGGUACAGAUAAAACAGCUUGGGUGAAACCUUAGUCCCAACGAAUCCUGUGGCACAAUCCCCAUUGAUUUCAUAGAGCCAAGACCUUACCCAGCAGUCACAUAGCAAAGCCCUCUGACACUGCACAACUUUUAGAGGAGAACAAAAGAUUAAAAACUCAAUAUUCAGGAUACAGUCAAGUUUACAUAGAAAGGAUUCACCUGAACUCUGAGCUGACAUCCAACACCUGGUUUAUUCAGCAGAGGAAAAUGAUAGAUGUAACAGAAUUUGAGAGUGAAGAACAGUCAAAAUGUAGCCUCCUUUUAAAUCAAAAUGCCAGUCUUUCUCUUUAAUUUGAUGCAUUAAAAACCCCUCUAUAAUCUUCAUGGCUAUAAGAGUUCAAGAAUGACCUUCUAGUCUGGUCAGUUGUAAAGUAAUCUUCUAAAAUACUUACCAUGCCAUAAGGGUAGCAACAAUGGGAAUGAGAGAGAACUGAGGGGAAAGAAUAGGGCAAAAACAGUCCAGGCAAAAAGCAGCAGGGAAGACCAGAGUUCAAUUUGGACAAUCUUAAUGAAUCUUUAUGGGUUUGCUUCCAUAAUGCUACCAUUCUUAAUAUCCCAGAAAUAAUAGAAAAAAAUACCUGUCUUAUAUGGCUUCCAAAAUGCUACAACAGAUUAAAGAUGAAAUAGUGUAUCUUUUUGUAGAGAGUGCCCCGGAGACAUACUAUGUAGCUUAAAGGGAAGGAUGCAAAUCCUUCAGAGCAGCAAAUGCCUUACUGUUCCAGCUGAUAUGAAUGACAAAGGUCUAUUGACUUCAGUGUUGUCGUCUGUGAUCUUGUAUAAGUAUUUCGUUGUCUUCUGGAGGGGAUCUGAUGGCAUCUGGAAUAGCAGCACCUCACUUUCUGCUCUGCAGAACAUUGCCUUUUUUGAGCAUCCUGGCAAUGAAAUGGAGAAGGCUGUCUGGAUAGUAUAGGUAAAGGUUAUGCAGAAAAUUAUUUUCUCAAAUUAAAAAUUAUGUCUGGUGUGAGCGUCUGUAACACCUCCCAAUAAAAAUAAGUUUUGUGCAAAAAUGAUAACAUGGUUAGGGUAUUUUUUUAUUUAUACCCUUAAUUUCAUGACAAAAUUAUUAGUACUUGCACAAUUCCAGGGAGAAUAUUGAGAUCUGAAAUAAAACAUUUCAAGAAUUAUUCUAUGGGAGAAAAGUUAAUAAUUUUUUUUAUAAAUAUAUUGCAAAAAGAAGGGAAAGUUGGUUUAUUUAGAAGUGUAUAGAGUAAAAAUAAUACUAAAGUUUCAAAAUGAUUUUCAGUUCCCUGUAAGUGUAACAUUACAUGCCGGCGAGGGCAUGUUCAUUAAGGCCUGAUCCUCAUGGAACUUAAUAACACACCUAUUAACUAUAAGCACAUAACCAAUUUCACUGCAAUAUCUCAGUUAAAAUUAAACCUGUGCCUUGCUGCUUGGCUGAACUAGGACCUAAGGCUAACUGGAUCUUCAGUACAGUUUUUGCAAUAUUCUUAGAGAAGCCGUCGGAGUCAGCAUGCGGUGAGGAGCGAGGGAGGGCGGCAGCUUGGCUUACAGCCCUGUCUGACAUGCCUGAAAGUCAGACAAGGUUUUGGGGAGGGAGGAAGAGGCCAACUGGCUUCCAGCACAAAGGGAAAAAGGAAAACAAUGUCCACAGCACUUAUCUGAGAGAGAGGGUCGGCGGGCAGUGGGAAUUAGAUAGAUUUGUAUCUAGUAUAGGAGCAAGAAAGAGCACAGAGGAUUCUUCAGAGUAUUGGAAUUAACUUUCAGGUCUAAUGUUCAUGUAGUUUUCAAAUCAUGCUGAGGAGCUCAGUGUGUUCAAGUAACAGUUGCCAAAAGAAAAUAUAAAAUUUUGCUGUAAGAAAUAAUAUUUUCCUUAUAUUUUCUGUAAAAUUGUCAGCAUUAUUUUAAAGUACCUUUUAAAUGCCUGUAAACACCAGUGAAAAGCUGUUUUACCUGGGGAGUUAAAUGUCAGCAUUAUGCUACAAAGACAGCUCCUAUCCUUCAGCAUUUAAUGAAGGCAAAUAAUUUUGUACAUAUUAGCAACGCCAUUGCUAAAUAUUUAUUUGUGUAUGUAAAGAUAAUCACAUGUAUGAAUGCUUGUGGUGUUGGGCACUUAAAAAAAGUCCUAGCCAUAAAAAGAGGGGUGUGGGGGUCAGAUCUAAUUCUACAAGGGUGGUGAACAUUUCAUAGCAUGUGUCAAAGACUGACUUUUGAUAGCUUUAAACAGAAGCAAUUUCCAGGAGUCAAUCCUUUUGUUCCUUUGUAUUUUUCUUAAAAGAAAUGGUCUGUACUUUGCUUUCAACACUCUAAUUAUCAUUAGCCUCAGAAAUCACUUUGCAAUUAAUGAAAGCCUGAAUUCUUCAUGUUCACUGAGCAAAACCUUAAUAUAAACAAACACUGCGAACUCAUUCCAAGGUAAUCAAUAGUGCUAGCCUAAUUUACAUGUGUUUAAUAUCCGACAUACAACUGUAACAGGCAAGUUUCUGUUCUCACUGUUGUCUUCCUGUUACUGAAACUUAUAUGCUGGAAACUCAACAGUCAGCAUUGGUCUAAAGUAAAUUAAAAGCAAUGUGCAGUAACUAUUUCACCGAAGCCUUUUGUCUGAAGCAGCCAAAAGCAAUAGUCAUGGUCUUUCUUUAGAUUUUGCACAGACAGAAAGUUCACUAGGUUUCUCAGUCCACUUACAUUUCUGAAGCUCAAAAAGUUAAACCAGAAGGGGAGAAGUAUCUUCCUGCCAGAACACAGAUCAGAGAGGUUGCCUGCAGCAGCAAAAUAUUCAGUAGGUGUUUUCAUGAACAGUCAUGAAGAGGGAGGGACAAAUAACCUACAGUUUCCCCAGAGUAACUGAAUAAUCCUCCAGGGAAGCAAUGCCUCUGUAAUCCUGCAGUGCAUGAGUCAGCAUUACAGUGCGUGGGAGAAUUGUUCUCUUUUUUAUAGCUCACAAUAUAAAUUGGACAAUUUGCAAAAAAAAUUUUGUAGAUUUACAAGUGCAAACUUCUGUAGAAUUUUUUUAAGCGUUACUGUAAAUAUGAACAUGGCGUUAUAACUUCUGCUGUGCAUUGGGAAUGGGAAAAGGAAAUAUAAUUUACUACAUCUGCUCUGUACCGAAAGGCCAGAAAAGAUGUUUUAAGAAGACUUUAAUUCUGUCUACUUAGUUUCCAGAGCUUUCCUCAAAUGUAUGGUAUAAUCACCACCCCUGAGAGCGCUCCCAGGUUAAAGAGAAAAGCAACAUGGAUGUAACAGACCCUCCAACUCCUUUUCUUUUCUCUGGUGAUCUGAGUGUGCACAGUGAUGGAUUACUCUGCCUAAGUGACCCAAUAGUGUGUUUUACCCACAGCAAGUACCGUCCUAAGUUUGCACAUGAAGAAAACAGAACAUAAAAUAGCUACCUGAAUUAUCUUCCAUAUAACAGCUAAUCUGUGGCAGAUCUGGACAUUAACUUCAACCUUUUGAAUCCUAAUCCUGUGUUUAUCAACCAAGGCAGUUUCCACCCAACCUGUUUUUUGGUGCAUAGUAUCUGCUGAUUGUUCCCUGUAUCAAAGGAGCUAUGGGAAAUGCUCCAGGAAUUGUGACAGAGCAGUAUAUUUACUUCUUACUAUGUGCUGUGUCUGAUUAUUUUUACUGAUGACUAGUUACAAUUCCAGUAGGGUAUGUAUCUCAACCUCAUGUUUACAUCCUCACCCAUAUUGCUGCAUUAAGGCAUUCUAGCCAUCACUAAAUUAUGCAUGCAGUCAGUAGCUGUUCUGAUUAGCUAUACAGAGAUAUGUGUUGAAUUACAAUGGAAAGAUGCCUCUGUAUAUAUAGUAAGGGAUUACUUUUAUUAGUGUUACUUACACUUGAAAAGAAAGGGCUUUCAAAAGAAUACCUUGGUUUUUUUCUGGAAAAUGGUGUUGAAUGAAAUCAGAAUUAGUCUUGUGAACAGCCACGAGGAAUCAGCCAGAAAGCUAUUCCACUUCCUGUCUAUCACUUCACUUCUGGUUUAUCAUUUAUAGGACUCCAUCAUGCAAGCCAUUUGAGAGUUACAGACAGAGUAUCCUCACACUGCACAGAUUAGCUUGCACUCUUUUCAUGUUUCUUUUAAAAUUUAUUUUAAUUUAAUUCGCAAAACUUUCUUCUCUAUAAAAGGAGGCUUUGGGAUUUUGAAGAAAUGUCUAUCCAUGUAUACAUGUCUGAUCAAGGAUUCUAUGCAGCAACAGCUGGCAAAACUCAAGGAUUCAUUAGUGUUAGAGCCUAACAAAAUUUUUUCAAAUGUUUUUCUUUCUAGCCCUAUACAACCCUUUCCUGCAUUCUGCGCUGUGUUUGUCUCUAUCAUGUUUUGGAAUAUGCCACAGGAAUACAGCGUACACAGGCCAAGUGUUAAAUGAAAACCAUAUAUUAUAGCAGUGUUGCUGAGAAUGACAGCUUGCAAAGAAACUGAUUCUGAUAACACUGUUUAGAUAACAGCAAUGACAGUGGAUUUCCUAGAUGGUUAAAAUUCUUGACUAAAAAUAUUUUGGAAAAUUGGGCUUUGGUGAAAAAAAAAAUUUCCUGUGGAAUUAAUGUUCUUAACAGCAGUAGUAAGGUUUCUCAAGGAAAUUCUAAAGCUUUGAUCUUUAAACCUUUCCCCUACCAUUCUUCUUUGUCACCUUUGGUUUUCAAAGAAUCAGUGAAAUCCUAAAAUAAUGUAUUGAAAAUGCGCAAAAGGGAGAAAAGGGAGAUUUCUUACUGAAAAGUGAAUGUAGUGUAUAUUACUUUGUUUCAGACUUUCUCCAUGAGCUGAGCAGAACCAAAGAAAUGCAGCCUAUCAGAAAUAUCCCACAGGCACAAACUGGGAUUUUUGAUAAGGUGUAGUCCCUCUUUGGCUUACAAAGUGGUCUAAGUGAGGCUAGUUAUGAGUCAACUACUCAGCAUAUCAGCUGCCAAGAGAGUUCAGAACAUUAAGUACUGAUCCCAGGAGUUUCAGUGAGAUAUUGUUGUUUACUAGAAUUGCUUAAAGCUCAGUGUUCUGUUUGUUGAAUAUUAUGUAUAAUGAUACUCAAGAUUUGUAACAUUUUCACUUGCGUGGGUGAGCCUUUACUUUUCUUCAGCAAUUGUGUAAUUAGGGAGUUACAUAAAGGUAAAACAUUAUUGCAAUAUAAAUAAUAACAUAUAAUGUGCUUCCAUAAAUCAUUUUGUCUAUCAGAUAUUACACGUGGCUGCUAUCGUGUAAUGUAGACCUUUGACAACAUAGCUCAGUAUAUUUUCCCUGGGUUCACUUCUUGUUCCGGAACUGUGAACCCUUCCUGUUCUGAGCCCGAGACCCAAUGAUCCUUCUCAUAUUUUGGGAUCACAUCUGCCAUCCAUUCUUGUAUUUCUACCUCCCUGCUUGCCCACAUAUCAUAAGCAUUUUCAUCUGGAUAUAGAUAUAAAUGGUCAUCUGGAUAUAGACAUAAAAGUCUGUCACAACUGUUGCAUUCAAACUUGUGGAGCAGAUUCAAGAUUUGUUUCCCCUCCUUCUGUUUGGACCUUAACCAGCACUGACACUUCACCAAUCUUCAGACUCACUUUGUGUGUAUUUAGCAAGCCUCCUCUGUCAGGCUAUGAAAUAGAAAUAAACUGCCAGAUAAUUGGAAAAGUUCAUGUUUAUUUUGGAUUAAAGAAUAAAAAUAUCGAAGUAGUUUGCCAAAGAAAUAAAUUGAACCAAGAGUUAUUCUCAUAUUUUAUUAGCACAGUCUUUAUAGUCCACACUCAUGUGGCUAUUUAAUUUGUGACUACAAAACAUGUGAUUAUUUAAGCAUUCAGACAUAUUCAGAACCUAAAGCAGGUUCUGACUCUUUUAUUCAGCAUGAGUAUAACAUCAUAAAUAACUUGGAUACAAAUUAUCAUACUUUACCUAAGUUAUCAUUAGUCAGAGCAAUGGCCUCCCAAUGUCCGUAGUGAAAUGAUAAAGAUUAAACUUAUUCCUUCAUAUCUAUCAAGAAAGUGAAAUCUAAAGGCCUUUUUAUUUUAUUACAGCAUUAGGUGUUUCAUGGUAAGGAGCUAUGGUUGCAGAUUCUGGUUUAAAACAAGUAAAAGGCUGAAAUUAAUGAAUUUGCUUUACUCUAGUCUGGCCAUUGUAAACAUUGCUAUCAUCUUAUCUUUCAUCCAACUCUUAACAAGGGAGAUAUUACUUCAUUUCCCAGACUUGCAUCUUACAGUGAUACUCCUUUUGCUUGUACAACACCCCAGAACAGAGCAUAGCAACGUUAAUUGAACCUGUGGGUUUCUGUUAGCAUGUAUUGUGCGGCAGAAAAAAAAAUGUUGCAAAAUUACACAGAGCCUAGAUUUAAGGUUGCAAAGUUUACACACAGAAGGAGGUCUACCCAGCAGAUGAGCAGUGUUGCCCCAGCCCACCUGACCUUUUCCCAUGUCUCGUCUGUACCUCCCAGGACUACGGCAGAGCCCCAUUACUCGGGUUGAAGCAGGCAUCUCAAAGAGAUACAUCUCCUCCACACACUCCCAUUUACUUCUUUUUAGGACACCAGGAGGUAUCCAACGUUCACACAACCAACGUUUGGUCAUUAGUGGAAAGCCAAGCUGCCCUCCACCUGUUUCUUGAAUGGACCAGGACGAAUGGUCCACCAGCCAUGGGGGACGCAGGAGAAAGCAGCGGGGAAAGCUGGGUGUUCAAGCACACAACCUGCUGGGUCUGCCAGCUGAAGCUGGUCCAGGUCCCAAUGCUUUGGUCCUCCCCGCUUACCAGCCCUGUGCCGAGCCACUUCACUGCCCGGCAGCUGGCCAGAGGCAGGUGGAUUUGCACAGGCUUCGUAGGGUAAGGGGGCUGAGGGGAGGCAGGAGGGGAGCAUGGGGGGUGGUGGGCCGAGGGCAGAAGGGGCUGGAAUGGCCAGCGGUAAGAGCGGUGCAGGCUGGUGGAGGAACAACAGGCAAAGAACCAAAUCCUAACAAACAGAGGCUUGCAUAGUUAACAAACCUUUCACUUUUUCCUUUAAAUUAUCUUUUCGUUUGCACCCCAAAUCAUGUUUAUCAGAAGCUUUUUUUUUUUUUAAUAAUUAUUUUUAGCCUGAGAAAUUCAAGACAGUGAGUCAGAUAGUGUUCAGCUUCAUGUAUUAUGCUGAGCUGCCACAGAAGACAGCCCAUUUUUCACACAAAGCAACAUAUUUUUCUGGUCUUCCUAAGCUUUAUUUUCAGUUCUGUUGUUUCCUUGCUGUGAAAAGUUAUUGUUAUAAAAAGACUAUAUUGCAGUGGGGAAUGCAACAGUGUUAUAUCAAGGAGAUUUUAUUAAAUCAUAGUGAUGUGUACAGAUACACAAAACAAAAUUCUGCUGAAGAUAAAUCCCAUUCUUAAAUCUACGGUACAUUAUUAGACUUGCAGCACACAGGAGCUAGGGAAAAUCUACCGAACCAUGUUAAAGUGUCUUACAAAAUAUCUGAUAGUUGAUUUUUAACUGAAUAAUGGGUUAGAUUUUAAAAUACAUCACAUUCAUUGCUUAGCUAUAAGAUGGCCUCAGGAACCCUAGAGCAUGGCUGUUAAUAAUAUUGGGGUAUAUAACUAUAUAAACAGUAACACUAGGAUUUCUGUGUACUAUACUUUUAAGUGCCUAAGGCUCCUCCUAUUUGUAGAUAGCUGUUAUUUAUUGAGUUGAGAGCAAAAUGGCUAAGGAGGCAUGAAAGCACACUCAAACACACAGAACAUGUUUUUCAAUAAGUUCUUCAUUAUUUUGUUCUCUCUCUCUCUUUCUGUUUGCCUCCAGCCAGAAAAUACAGGUGAUUCAGGCAAUUUUCAGAUUAUACUCUUUCAUUCUUCAUCUUGAUUGCAUAGCUUUUCUAGAUUACCAUAGAGACAUUUCUAACUUUUUGUUUUAACUUUUACCAAAAAAAAUCUUUUACAUAAGAAUUGAAUGCUAUUUUAUCAUUCUAAUUCUUGGAUAUAUUUUAUUUCUUCUGCUGUGCUUUUACAAUCCCACUCUGCAAUUGAGAAAAAUAGAAGACUAAAGAACACACAUAACAAGUUCUAUAAAAUAUUGAAAUUCAUGUGUUGAAGCUAUAGGUUCACUCCAAUUGAAUAUUUAUUGUAAUAAAGAAAGUUGAAGAAGAAUAAAUAUUAUUUAUGCUUUAACAAGGAUGUGAACUUAAUUCUUUUUAUCUUUAGUCAUGUGACCUAAGACACAGUUCUUUAUGAGAAUUUCAGCAUCAGUACAGUUGUUCCAAGAUUACUAGCUAUCAUAUAGCAACUUUUGCCAUUGUUUUUUUCUCUUUGUGAUCAUUAGUUCUUAGCCAUUAAAUAUUCUUCCAUAUAUUGAAAAUAUUACUCGGGUCAGAAUACUUCUUAAUCACAAAACUAAAUAGUGCAGGAUUCUCAGGCAUUACCGUACUGCUAUUUUAAAUGUAUUUUAAUUGUAACAUUUUUAAACAUAGUCCUCUUGUUAGUUAUACUGUCUUUUUCUUGCGUUCGUUUGGAAAUCACAGUGUAUAUAUGCUCGCAUUGCUGCAGAUUCUGGAAACAGAAAUGGGUUCUUCCUGAAACCUCUGAGUUACUGAAGGUCUAAAAUAGUUUUCUUUUUCUUUAGGAAGUUUUCAUUCGAGAAGGUGACUAGUGAUCUCCUGUGGCACUAUAUAUUGGAACAAUUUCCUUAAGCUUACCCAAAGUAGGGGGACACAAGUUGAUGCCUCUGGUGUCAAUGAAUUUUUUUUUUUAAUAAAUGAGUAAGUUGCAAGUGUCCAAGUAUUCAUUAGGCCUUAAAAGUUUUGUAACUAUGAAAUUUACCCUUUGAUUUUCAUAAGACUUUAUGAUAAGUAAUUUCCAACACAGUGGGGAGAUCCAUUCUUCAGAGAGAAGAGCAAGUCUGUUCUAGAAAGAAAGAUUAAGGACAUGUGUAUAUGCUGCAUACUUAUAGUGGUUUCUAUUUUUCCUUAGACUAAAAAGUUAAAUGAUUAACAGUUUUAUUUACUGGCUAAUUAAUGAAACAAUGCAACCAGAAUACAAGAUGUGUUUCAGAGGAAGGCCAGAUUUUGGAAUUUUCCUUUAGUUAUAGGAUGCCAGAAAAAUAUUGGAGUUGCAGUAAAUCACAGACUAAAUAUGAGUAGAAAAAUCUCACACUGUAGCUAAGCAGGAAAUCUUACUCUGGGUUGCAUUCAUAAGAGCUGACAAUAAUGUGGGAGGUAAUUAUUCCUUCUACUUGAUCCCACUAAGACGGGAAACAUUUUUCUCCCUUCUGUUGCUAUAAAAUGUUGCAAAGAUGAUUAUAAAUGGGGGCAAUGGGGUAAGAACAAACAUAAAUUAGCUUAAAUUUCACCAAAAGUGAUCUCACUGAGUAUAAGAGAAAAAUUCUCUUUGGCUGUUAAAGCACUGAAAUUGUUCGUCUAUGGAAGUUGUGAAGUCUCCUUCAAUGGAGGUUUUUAGGAUGUGUUAGACAAACAUCUGUCAGGAAUGAUCUUAGUGUGGACCAUUGACCAGCCUCAAUCCAAAGGACUGGAGCAGCUGGUCUUCUGAGGUUUUGUAUUUCUGCUCUUCUGGGAAUCUAAAAUAUCUGAUUGAGUUCACCACCAGCUGGAUAUCUUCUUGUUACACUUCCCAUUGCAUAAACUUCUUUCUUGCUGUACAAACUUCAUGUUUAUAAUACUGUGAGUGUAUAGGGAUUCAAUGAACUUCCUGUUAUUCAAGUAAUCUUCUCACUGCUGCAUUUCUGGGGACAAAUUUCCAGUGCCCCUCUCUAAUUGCAUGUACUCAGUCAGUAGCUAAGCUGUUUGUAGGCAUGCAUCUUGCAGGUUUGCCUGCAAAACAUAAAGCUGGAAGGAGUCACUAGUAAACUUCUAGGUGAUCUAAACACCUGGGAAAUGGGUAUGUUGUAAAUUUUGUGGUUACAAUAGAAGACUGACUUUAUCUCAGCUCAGACUUGCAACGGUGAAAGACCUUGUUUUUCAAUCAAAGUAAGCAGCAACUUAGAGCCUUUAGAUCCAGUCCAAGUGCUGACUCCUGCCUCUCUCCUGGCUGUGCUCCUACUGCCAGAACCAGCAGCUUUCUGCUGCCAGAUAUACCAUCUCUUCCUUUGGCAGCAGGAUCAAAAAAGAUGUGCUAUUUUCAGAGUUUCUCCUGUAAUACAAUCAUGACAUAGAGUAUGAAACUGCUAGUUAAACUCUUAGAGGCAUUUGGGGAAAGGUUGUUGCAAGUGCCAGUGUUGCUGUAGAUGUGUUACUGUGCUACAGUGACUCCUCCUAAUAUAAUUUGCCCCAGUCUGAGUGGUGCCUGCAGGCCCUCUGUGACCUGGUCUACCAGGCUGCCUCACGGUGUGGUAGGGACAGGCCACACCUCCGCCCCAUCUCAUGACACAUGUCUUACAUUGGAGGUGCAGACAAUGGCAGCUGGGAGCAAUCUAUGGGAAUUCCAUGGAGCUAUGACACCUGGGACGCUCUCCUUUGCCAUCUGCAUGCAAUCCCUGGCACAUCAUUGCAAUGGUGAGCAUAAGAAAGCUAUGGUCACCAGAGGACUUAGGACUCUCAGUCUGAAAAGUACAAAGGAAAUAAACUGGGACUUCAACUUCUCUUUGCUACUUUCAACUUCUCUUUGCUACUUUCACCAUCAAAAUGCAACAUUUUGCUUUGCCUUAUUUUAGAGUUGUCCAAAUCCACAAUCACUUGUGUGCUCAUUAGCAAAGUCUAAGUUUUACCUUUGAGUAUGCAGGAAAUGCAUAAUUUUUAACAAUAUCCAAUUCUCAGGAGCCAGUUGAUGCAUAAAUCCCUGAAGCUUUGCAGAAGAGUCCUCUCCAUCUCUUUUGCCCAACUGACAAGCAUUUUCAGUGCACAUCUAUUAGAUAAGGCCCUGCAGAAAAUGUAAAUGUUGGUGGUAGCUGCAGUACCUCAGACCUCUAAUGACCUUCAACAGUUUGAGCCCUCACAGAAGGAGGAACAAGGGCCAGAAUUAAUUUUCUAAGAGAGUACCUAAUAGUAGGCUGGAGUAGAGUUCUCUUAACUUCCACUUUCCAGGGAAUAAUUAAAUAUUCAUUAGAUCAGAGGCAGGAAAGAAGAACAAGAGGAGAUUAACACUAAGUGCCUAAGGUUCUUGGGUAGAAGAAGAAAGCCUUAGGUUUCUUGUAGAACAGAGUACUUCUUUUCAAAUAUUUAAAUUUAGAAUUGGAAGAGAGAGCAGAAAGUGAGAUCCUGCUCUUCUCCCAGAUGAGAAUCACAAGCAAGCGGUGAGCUAUAGUGACAUGUUCACUCUUGUCUGUUUUCUAGGGCACAAUGAAUAUUUAAUGAGUGUACGAGGAUGGAUGCAGCUUCUACAAGGGAGACUGAGAAAAACCUUCUCCUUCCCAUCCAGGACAGCAUCAGUUCCAGUAGUUUGGCAGUGGAAAAUGUAGGUUCAAGCACCCUAUAGCACAGAAAUGAAUCGAUUCUAGCUGUACUUCUUCUGCAUAAAUACUCAGAUAAGUCCACCUAUGGAAGAGAGCCACUGCUAAGGCCAUACUUUGUGAAGACUGGCAGAGGGGCCUCACACCAAGGGGAAGCUGGGUGGUUUGAAAUUAAUAUGGGAGUAGGGGAGUCCCCACAGGCUAGAGAUGUGAUCUAAAUCUUACUAGUCUCUGAUGGCUAACGUGCCAUCUGCUUACCUUGCUGGCUUUGGGGGGACUAGAGCCUACAUUUUCGCAAGCAUUGCAUAUGAAGCAGCUCAUGCAAUUAGAUACAUAACUCAGGGCUGAGGUAUCCUGAUAGUUGGGUCCUUUAACAGUGAGUUUAAACUUCCUUGUUAGCCUAGCUCUGGAUUUCACAUUUUCAGUCUCCACUCCUGACUAUAUUUCAGGAAGGAAAGCCAGAAGAAAUGUUGUUAUUUUAUAUUGUUGCUAAUAUGUCAAGGUUUCUGGACAUCUUCCAGAGGUGUUAGGUCAGUGGACCAGCUGCCAAGAAAACUCUGCUUCUUGUACAUACAGGUUUUACUCUCGUGAUUCAUGGUGUCAUUAUUUCAAUGGAUGUACCCAUCAUGAGAGAUUACGGCCAGACUUACACUGCCCUUCAGGUAACAUGAAUCCAAGGAGUUGAAACCUUGAAUGGGAGCUGGUAUUUAAAAUCUAGUCGAAUAAGACUUAGGCACCAAUUAAGUUCUCAGGUGAGCCCUCUCAGUAGAUGUUAUUUGCAACUGAAUGGCUAACUGGUCUGAAGCCAUUAAAGCUGGUGGUUUCAGGGUUAUGUGUAGAAGAUUUUCCUCAGCAGUCACAGAAUUAUGUAGCCACAAAUGGGCCACAAGUCCACAUCGGAGAGGACUCUCUGCAGUCAUGCACAUGAAAGAAACUCUUUCCUAGCCAUGCAUCUUUGAGCAUUCAGACACAGAACUAGGCAUUUUCAGUGUUUAUUCAGCUUUUCAGGGGAAGCGGAGACAAAUAGGUCUUUGUCCAAAUGAAAAAACUAUUGAAAGAAAAGAAAAUGUUUGUUUAAAAAAAGACUGUCUUUGAUUUAGAAAAUGAGCUUGAACAAACCAUUUCAGCUCUUCAGAACUAUCUGAAAGUGAUUCAGUUCCAUUUGAAAAUAUUGUAUCAAAGAGAAGAAUAUUAUCUUUCAUUGCUCCUCCACCAUGCCAUUUCUGACUCCUCCCCGGAGCUGGAGAAACAGUCAGCAUCAGCAGGGUGAAUCAUCUGUGCUUCAUACAGCCCUGUUUGGCAAACUGCAUACAGCCAUCUCCUGGGACUCUGCUCCAGUUUGCACGUUCAUCCCUAAUGGAGGCCCUAGCUAAAAUAAGGCAUACCACAUCUGCAAUGUGCAUUUAUUCUGCUGUCUGACAAAAUAAGAGUAGAUGAAUAUAAAAUAGCCUUUGAGGGGUGGAAGGCAGGAUGUUUGGGGAAUGAGGAUAUCUGAAGAAGAAUCUGUUAAACUUUCUGAAGGCUGGUGAAGAGCAUGAGGCAGAAGUGUGGUCAGCAGAGGAAUUUAUGUGGAAACUUGCUGGACUCCUUGCAGGAAACACAAAAGGGUUUAUAUAUAUGGAGUCAAAGGUUAAGUCAAGGGUGAACCCACUCUAGCAGAGUUUAUUUCUCACUUCUAAUUUGGGUAGUUUACUCAUUUCUCACGUAUACCAAAUAAGAAAAUAUCUACACUUCAUUUUCUAUUACUCAGUUGUUUGCAGAGUCACUAACCUUUCAUUGUUUGUUUCUUAAGGAUAUUAAAUUUAUCCCAGGGCUAGAAGCUGACAUUCUAGGAAUUUUAUAGUAUGAAAUAUGCCAUCUACUAAGUGAAGUAACUGUAGUGGAAAAAAAUGUCAUGUUUUCCAAGAGGCUGUUGAGCAGUGUGUGGCUAAAUCUGGCAAAGAGCUGAAUGCUUGCAUUUUCCAUUGAUGUCAGCUCUCAGGACAUUGUCUUAUAAAUGGGAAGCUGUCUGAAGAAGUAUUGCAGACUGGCAGUGAGUGGGUAGAUUUAAAAUAAAUUAAGAAAUUAAUGACAUAAAGGAACACAUAGCCUGAAAGGAUGAUGUUUUUAAUGUGUCUUGAUACUUUGCUACAUAUUCAGAGCAACUCUACUAAGUGUAUUGGGUGUUUUUGAAAUGUUUAUAACCAAAAAGCUCUGCUACAUCAAUCCUGCAAUGCAGAAUUAUUUUAAUUGUUCUGACAGGCAGGUAACUUUGAGGUUCUUUUUCCCUUUAAAAGUCCUAAUAAAUGGAUAGUCAGUGUGAGCACAUCUCUAGUCACUCUUCUGUGACUAUGUGAGAUUACCUGAUCUAGAGAGAAGGAAUGACAUUAAUUCUGUUGCUUCCAAGGGUGUCUCAUUGAAUCAGUCUGUUCCAUUCUUGACAGGCUGCUUUCUAUAUAUUAUCCUCUAUAACAGAACACACUGGACUUUGAACUCCCAACUCUAUCUAAAAUUACAUGAAAUCUCUGUUACCUGGAAUCAGUUCGUUCACUAAGUGAAAGUCACCUUGAAAUGCUCUGAAUGUUCUUGCUUCCCUCAAAUAUGCAUUUGGUUCACUAAUUCAGUGAUCAUUGCUUGCAAUAACAUCAAGGGAAAUACACAAGAAGACAAAAAGUGUUAAUGGUGGCUCACAAGGGGAGUUUGAUCAAAAGAAUCAAAGUCUGUUCCCAUUUAAGACCAGGAAUAAAUUGUGGAGCUCUUUUUAGCUAUUCCAGCUUGUGACUCACUGUGCAAAGCGGUGUUGGCUCCAAGAUAGCUUUCUCUUUCACCCAGCAAUAGAACUAGCCUGGGAACUAAAGAGCAGCAGGAUGCAGGGAACUAUCAGCUAUGAAAAAUCUCACAAUUUAUGGAACUUUUAAAAAUAAUAAACUGAAGCACCAAAGGUUUCGCUUUUGUCAUUUUUUUUUUUUUUAAGAGGCUUCUGGCUUUCCUUAAUUUCUUCUCCAAAUGAAAUUUACCACAGAAAAUGUAGCCAUUUUUCAGUUCAUUGUAGGUUGACAAAAACGUGCUGACUUACUCACUGCUUUGCCCUAGUGCUCAUUUUCUUUCAUUCUGUAGAGGGCUGAGAUCUCUUGUUUCCCCCAAAGGAAGGAUUCUGCAUCAGCUGGGAUGAGAUGUUCUCAUGGAAAUAUUCAAACAUGCAAUUAUUAUCUGAUAUGUCCUUACAUGUUCUUAGAGCUCGGUAAGUCAUAUCAUACUCAGUUCUCCUGCGGAGAAGCCAGCCUAUAAUCUUCCCUUCCCCUGUUUCAUGGGAGACUCUAACAAGUCAGUUGAGGUACAUGCAAAGGGUGUGGGCAAUUUAGGUCAAAAUCAGCGAUGAGGUAAGGCAUUUUGUAAUUUAUGCAUUGCUGAGUGGGUGUAAAUUAUACUGGAUGGCUAGAUCCUGUGAGUUUCUGGUAGUCACUGACUCAAACAAAAUCCAGGUACCUCGUGACAGUGUCUAGAAAAAAGCAGCCACAGUCUUUCUGGUCUCUUUCCUCUGUCGAGGGGUGUACAUGUGCUGGUUAGUCCCUUGAAAUAAAAAAGUUUUCAGAUUCCCUGAAACCUUCUUGCUUUAUGUCAGAGGAGGGAGAAAAGGCUCCUAGAGGACAGCUGCACGUGUGAGUAUAUCUCUUGUCUCUCCCAUAAGGAGCAUCCACCAAGGGCUUCCCAUUCCUGGAAAUGGAAUUUAAUGGAUUUUACAAACCUCCAGCACCUUCACCUGUAAAACCAGAAAAUAACUCUGCCUCUUGUGUGUUGCUAACAGGAAUCCCCCAUGUCAUUCUUCUCCAAAUUUCAAACCUUAGGGAUAUUCUGCCCCACAAGAUCCAGAUGGGGAGAUAAUUGUCAUUACCCAUUGCAAUGUCAAUGUAACUCCUUGCUUUUUCUCUGUGUACUGUAAAGGUGAAAGGAGAAUGCCCAAGCCAUAAAGCCUUUGCUUGUCCUUCUGAAUUCCUCAAGAAGGGAAGCUAGCUUUGUAAUCAAGCUUUACCAAUGAUAUAUUUUCCUCUUUGCACCAUUUCACUGCCUAAAAAAAAUGGCAAUUGUGUCUACAUUUUGGGGGGAAAUACAUAAUUUGAAGUCAAGAACAUAUACAUUGAAGAUAUAUUAAGAUUUAGGUGGCUUAAUCUAAACAUUUCUUUAAGAAAUAUUCCAUUCUUUGACUAUGAUUUGAGUCUUCUGGGUUGUUUGUACAAUAAAUAAUACACAAUGCAGCUGAUCAUAUUGAUUAUCACUAGACUUUUAAACUCCAGAGGAUCUCUGCUACUGGACUGACAACCAAAAAUUUCAACAAGAAAACUUUUUCAGGAGAGUGUUAUACAGACAUCUCAUGAGGGACUAUCAAAUCCAGCAGAAUAUCCCCAUGUUGUCAAUACAUUUUGGCCUAAGAAUUAUUAUACAGACUGCACAGAGGACACCUUAACUAGGGAAACUCAUUUCAGUGUUUUUGCACCAUUAGCCCCUGGCAGUUGCAUUUUAACAGGUCUUUUAAUAAACCCUCUUAUUAACUGCUUCAUGCAGUUUGUGAUAGUAUGCCAGUAUAUAUUUACCUUAUUUUAUACCACCUGUAUUCUAUGAUUUUUUUUCUUCUGUAGGAAAAAAAACAAAACCAAACAACUCAUAGAAGUACAUUUAAAAAGUAGUUUCUAAUCUUGCUUCUUAAGUGCACUUCUAAGUUCCACUGAAUACAGAUAGUUAUGAUCAGAGUAUUUUUUUGUUGUUUGCAUGUAAAAUGUCCAUGGAGAUAUACACAGUGAAUGUAACAUGAAGACAAGGCCACAAUGGUGUUAUUCUGGUGAGAGAAUUAACUUGGGGUGCUAAGUGGAUAUCAGGGAAAAAAAAUCUGAUUAAAGUCAUUGUAAAAGUCUCUUACAAUGGAAAUCUUUUUUCAAAUUCUACUGCAGAAGAAAUAAUAUAACUCUGGUACUGCUUGUUGAAAAGUUGUUGUCAUGAAACUAUGCAAGCCAAGAAGAAAAAAGUCUCUGUGGCUUGGCUUGGCUUACAGAGCUAUGCAAGGAAAAAGAACGUAUAAGGCAUGCUUUUACGCUCUGUACCGCCUAUGCCUGUAAGAGUUUACAGCCCACAUGCGAAAGGGGCUUCUUAGAAAUGUUACUUCCAGUCCUGUUCAAAAGGAGCAAGAAGAUGGUAGACCCUUGACUGCACUCAUCCCCAUUUCCCCAGGACCAGGCUAAAGUAGCGACUCUACAUUGGCAGGAGCUGGCCUGGCAAAAACCUUUCCUCUCAGAUAGAUAGCUCAGUAAUACUAGGAUUUGGGUAAGCUCUUGUCUGUAACCAUGUCCAUAAGCUACCUGCUGCUCCCAGAGAUGAGUACAGUGGGUUCAGAAGUAACAGGUUUGGGGAGAAAGGUCAGUGUUAAUCUGGUACUGCAGCAUGGAAGGGGCUUUGCGAGUGAUAGAGAAGGGGCCUGGUAUUGGGGCAGUGGCUCAGCAGGAAAGGAUGAAGAUGGGUCUGCACAGACAGCCUGGAGAGUGAAUGUACUCCAAGGCUGAUAUUCUUAGUCUACACCUGGUGCCCUUGGUUUAUCCUGUUGGGAAGUCUGCCAACUUCCUACAGGUUAGGCAUAGCCUACAGGUUGGUUUACCACUCCACUUUGAAGGCGAACUUCCUGGCCAUUAAAAACAUAUAUUUAGGAGAGUGUGCCUGGCUGUGCGGUCAGAUAGAGUGGGAGAGUUCAUCUGGUUUAGACAGUAUGCCUUGAGGUUGUUCACACGGUGGGGGGGCGAUUAGAGGAGAUGAUAGCCAACAUGUGAAUUUACCUUCUCCAUCACUUCUCAGUGAACUACCUCUGGAUCAGAGGCGUUCCUCAAUGAAACUGAUAAUCAAAGUGGAUUUUUUUAAAAAUUGAGUUUAUUUGGUCUUUUUCUGAAAAAUAAACUUUUGGUUUUGUCUUUGAAAUCUUUAUUAAUUGCUUGUCCUAAACAUAUGCGCAUCUUUCAGGGAUACUGGUCCCCUUCCCCCAUAUCAGACUGUGAACUUUCUUUAACCCAGCCCUUCCCAUUCACAAAAAUGCCUCUUUGACCUGAGUUAUAAAGCAGUUGACCUUUCCACCUCCACAUGCCUCAUUCAUUUGCAAUUCUUCCAAGAUAUCUACAGGACACAGGCCAUCUUUAUGGGUGAAUACAAAGAGCAGUUAGACUUAACUACCUAACAACAAUGCCUAUGUUUUAAAAGCCUUCAGCAUCUGAAAUGUAUUUUAGCGUGUAUAAAAUAUGACAUUGCUGGGCAUCUCUGCCUCUUGCAGUGACAAGGCAUGCAGGGAGCUGGGAUGGCAGGCAGCCAUCCUCACCUCUGGCUAGGAGAAAACUGGGGUGAAGGCAUAUGCAGGGUUGUGACAAAUAUUCCUCCUAAAGAAGCAAGCUUAAAAAAAGAAAGUAGGCAAAGCAUCCCACUCCCUCUGUGCUUGUGUACUGUAAACUUUUUCCUUUGGUACAAUAAAGAAACUUAAGAGACCAUAAUUAUCUUUAGUUUCCUUAUAGUCUGCCCAGACGGAGAGCUAUGGACACAGUGCAAUCCUGCCUUCUGGGCAGGAGACAUAUCUUGCAGUUGUAUGUGGUGCCAAGCUUA